UGGCCAGAGAUGAAAACAAUCAUCUGACUGCUUGCAUAGCUGCAGCAAUAUGCAGAAGUCUGAUGAAUUAAAGGAUUUUCUGAGGCCA
rnacentral:snoRNA from 3 species